rnacentral:rRNA from 1 species
UACGGGGGGGCAAGCGUUGUUCGGAAUUACUGGGCGUAAAGGGUUCGUAGGUGGCCGACUAAGUCAAACGUGAAAUCCCUCAGCUUAACUGGGGAACUGCGUCUGAUACUGGUCGGCUUGAGUGCAGGAGAGGAACGCGGAAUUCCAGGUGUAGCGGUGAAAUGCGUAGAUAUCUGGAGGAACACCGGUGGCGAAGGCGGCGCUUCGUCGGAUCUGCG